rnacentral:rRNA from 1 species
AUUGAACGCUGGCGGCAGGCUUAACACAUGCAAGUCGAGCGGAUGACGGGAGCUUGCUCCUGGAUUCAGCGGUGGACGGGUGAGUAAUGCCCAGGAAUCUGCCUGGUAGUGGGGGAUAACGUCUGGAAACGGGCGCUAAUACCGCAUACGUCCUGCGGGAGCAAGUGGGGGAUCUUCGGACCUCACGCUAUCAGAUGAGCCCAGGUCGGAUUAGCUAGUUGGUGGGGUAAAGGCCUACCAAGGCGACGAUCCGUAACUGGUCUGAAAGGAUGAUCAGUCACACGAGAACUGAGACACGGUCCAGACUCCUACGGGAGGCAGCAGUGGGGAAUAUUGGGCGAGGGGCGAGAGCCUAAUCCAGCCAUACCGCGUAUGGGAAGAAGGUCUUCGGAUUGGAGAGCGCUUAAGGUUGGGAGGAAGGACAGUAAGUUAAUACCUUGCUGUAUUGACGGUACCAACAGAAUAAGCACCGGCUAACUUCGUG